rnacentral:rRNA from 1 species
GAGUGGCGAACGGGUGAGUAAUACGUGAGUAACCUGCCCUUGACUCUGGGAUAAGCCUGGGAAACCGGGUCUAAUACUGGAUACGACUCCUCAUCGCAUGGUGGGGUGUGGAAAGGGUUUUACUGGUUUUGGAUGGGCUCACGGCCUAUCAGCUUGUUGGUGGGGUAAUGGCCUACCAAGGCGACGACGGGGAGCCGGCCUGAGAGGGUGACCGGCCACACUGGGACUGAGACACGGCCCAGACUCCUACGGGAGGCAGCAGUGGGGAAUAUUGCACAAUGGGCGCAAGCCUGAUGCAGCGACGCCGCGUGAGGGAUGACGGCCUUCGGGUUGUAAUCCUCUUUCAGCAGGGAAGAAGCCACAGGUGACGGUACCUGCAGAAGAGGCGCCGGCUAACUACGUGCCAGCAUCCGUGGUAAUACGUAGGGUGCAUGCGUUGUCCGGAAUUAUUGCUCGUAA